GAAAACAAUGAACCACAAAUCUGUGCUCAAACAUGUAUAGUGGAACAAAGUGGCCAUGUCCACACAAGUUUUUGUUUUCCAUCUCUGGGAAAGGUACACCUCACUGCUUCCCUAAUGCAGCGGAGAAUUAAAAUUAGUCUCUAAUAUAUUUAGGUAGCUUAAUCAUUAAAAAUGAUUGCUUACAUCUUGCAAUGUUGUUGAAGCAAUGCUGUUGAACCAGGCUGUUGGGAGGGUGUAAAGUAAGAAGGAAAUCAACAUUUGAGAACAGCAGCUAUUGUCAGAGCAAGACCUGGGUUCCUUGCUGCCUUGAUACAUAUCUGUGUGACCUUGGGCAAGUCAGUGCUCGAGACAGCUUCCAAAAUCUAUGAAGUUGUAGACAAGGUGCCAACCUGCAUUGGUAGAUGGGUUUUCCUUCCCUGAGUUUUCUAUACCCAGCGGUACAUUGGAGCCAAGUUGAACUGGCUGGUGUGUUCGUUUGUUAAAAUUUUUAGGGUAAGCAUUUAUGUCCCCAAAAUCUGUAAAUGCUACAAAUGGAGGCUUGAUUUAUUGUUUUAUUGGUUGUAUUUAUUGAUCACAGUCCCUAUUGUAUGUUCAGGGAUAGAAUACAGAACCCUGAACUUGACACCAGUAAAGGACCUACUAUGAGUAGCUGAAAAGGCAAUGCCCACAAAAUUCACCCUGGGUUGAGCAAGAUAAUUUGUUUGUUCCUUAUUGAGGGAAAGUAGAAUUCUGAACCAUCAUUCCCUUGGAGGUACUGGUCAGACCAGGAAUUCCAUGGGGAGGGAACGCCCUCCUCUUCCUCUCAUCUCCUGAUGGGGAUUGUCACCUCAUCUGUGACUUGGGCUCUGAGAGAGAACAGUUUAAGUGAAUUGCCCAAGUUUACACAGGUAGAUCAGAGAUUUGCACCCAGGUCUUCUGAUCCACAGCCAGAGCACUUUUUGCUGUACUAUGCUUCCUACUCAAACAGUUUUUAACUGGCAGCUAUCUAACACAAUUGAGAGUGUUGGAACCAGGAAGACCUGAGUUCAAAUCCUGCCUCAGACAUUUACUAGCUAUGUGACCCUGGGCAAAUCACUUAACCUCUCGGCCUCGGUUUCCCCAUCUGUAAAGUAGUGAUAGUAAUUGUACCUACUUCCCAUGUUUGUUGUGAGGAUCAAAUGAACUCACAUAUGUAAACCUUAAUGUAAACCUGCUAUCAUUCUAUUGUUGAAAUAAACACCCUUUUACAAGGGUAACUCUAGAAUUCACAUUGACUUCUCAGAAGUGAGCUUCAACAGUACAAAUCUUGCUAAGCUAUCUCUCCUCACACUCCAGUACAUCUGCUUCCUUUGGCCCAGAAGCAGUAAGUGACAUUUAUCAAUAAACAAUAUGAUGUCCUCCAGUGACCAAGCUUCCCAUUUCUGUUAAAGCUAUUCUCUACCCAUCUGUGGUCAUCCUCCUUUAAGAUGAAAAUGACCUAGACAUCUAGUUAUUACUCACUGGCCCUUUACCAUCACAGCCUUUAAGAUUAUUUCCAUGCUCAGACCAAAACCUACAGGAAAAGAAGAAGGACUUGACAGCUAUGGUAGUGGAAGAGGUCUGAAGGCAUCACUCCUAGCAACCAAAUAAGCCAGGGUCACAGAAAAAUAACCCUUGGUAACGAGCAGGAUGCCAGCCGUAACCUCUGCUAGGGUAUACCUCCCCGGAGGCUGAGUCAUCCUCUCUUCCUUAGGCGCGUGCUUUACUGAAGAGAUAGCACCAAAGAAGAGUCAGACAGACUAGGAAGGACAGGAGGCAGAUGCCUCCAGAGUAUGGGUUCCUCUUUAGCUCAUGCCUUUGGAAGGACUCCUUACUCUCCUUCUCCUGUUACAUCUAAAGAAGUCAGGCUUUAUGGAGAUUUGUCAGGAAUGAGCUUAUUAGGGGAAAUUUUUCCUAAGAAAAGAGGGAACUAAGGCUGAGGAGUAGGGGAAGUGACUGAAAUCAAUUUUUUCCCCGAGUCUUUUUCUUUCCCCUCUCUCUUUUUUUCUUCUUUGUUUAUUUCUUUUCCCCCCCUAGGAUGUAUGGAGAGGGAGAACAAAAAACUCUCUGAACUGGGUGUUGCUAUUGCAGAUUAUAACCUGCUCUAACUCUGCUCCAAUGAACAGUUUUUAAUUGAACAGUUUUCCACCCAGCAUCCAGGACAAUCAAUGUAUCAGUCAACAAACAGAUAAUAAACCUUGGAGCAGAGGAAGGAGUACUGACUUUAGAGUCAUAGGAUGGGAGUUAAAUUCUGCCUCUGAUGCUAAAAACUGUGUGACCUUGGUCGAGCCAUUUACUUAUACUUCUUGGUCCUCAGUUUCUUCAUCCAUUAAAUGAAGUUGGUUCUAAGAUGGCUUCUGGGGUUCCUUCCAGCUGUGGGUUUAUGGCCUUAUGUGCCAGGCACUGAAACCAGUCAGCUCUAGAUUGAUAACAUCCCAGAGGGUUUUUGUUUCCCUCAUAUUUCAGAGAAUCAUAUUUCUAAGCCAUUUUUGAAGCAUUAUUUUUAUGGUGUUGCAUAAUGAACAAGCCAAAGAUGAAUUAACAUUCCAAAGACAAUCAGUUUGGAAUGGCUUAAGUAGAUAAGUCAUGCGGGUUCAAUGACAAAUUUAAAAAAGAGAGACACUGCUCCAUCAUCAGACCAGCACUAAAUUAUCAGGUGUUUUUUCCCCUCUUGAUUAUAAUUUAGGACUGAAUGAGAAGAAAUUGGAGAAGGUACAGAGGAGAGCAAUGAAAAUGAUUAAAGGAUAGGUGAUGUAAGUUUCAAGGAAUUGGGAUGUGUAUCUCCACCUGAAACAGGACAAGGCAGAGCUACACAAAUUUUAUUUGAUUAUUUGCCUAAGUGGGGAAGAAGGGGGAGAGACAAAGAACUAUUUCCAUUACACCCAGAGGCAACCCUGUAGCUGUACUUCUAAGUAUGGUAGAGCUGCGGAAACCCCCUUGCUAUGAGGUUUUCAAAAAAGUUUCGAAAAUCCUGUUCAGAACAGCUGACGUACAGACCUGCCUGCAUACUGAAGGAUGGAGGAAAUUAAUUACAACGGUCCUUAACAAAUCUAUUCUAAUCCAACUUGAUCAGACAAUUCACUCUUAAUGAAGUGACACUUUUUUGUUGUUUUAUUACAAAGCUUCUUUAAAAAAAAUGCUCAGCACAUUAACUCAAACUGGAAUGACAAAACUUUAGUUAACAGUUUUUGGCAAAGGCUGCGCCUCGCAGUUUUUUUUUGUUUUUUUGUUUUUUUGUUUUUUUUAAAUGGGUACAUCAAUGCUUAUUUCAACAACUGGCAUAAAAUCCCACUAAUCGGCUAAUAAAAACAGAUACAAAUACAGAACAUUUAAAGUAAUAACAAUUCAAGUGCUGGGCUUUUUACAAGAGGGGGUAAGAGAUAAAGAAGAAAGGGAAAACUCACUGCAAACCAAUUUGCUGGAUGUAUUGUUUAGGUUUACAAAGAGAACUAAAGUGAAGCAGGAUCGACAUGUCUACUGACAAGCUGACUUGGUGGUUACACUUAAUUAGUUCUAUAUGACACCUUACAAAGACGGAGAGGCCACUAUUUGUUACAAACCGUUCACAGAGAAGCCACAUUUUCAGACAAGAUUUCUCUUGGACUUCUUUCAGUUUCGUUUUUUUAAAAAAUCAUACUUUUCCAGAUCUUUGAAUUUUAUUUAAAAGAUCAUAUAGCUAGUAAAAUAUACAC